UACGGAGGAUCCGAGCGUUAUCCGGAUUUAUUGGGUUUAAAGGGUGCGCAGGCGGGAGAUUAAGUCGGCGGUGAAAUUUUGCAGCUCAACUGUAAAAGUGCCUUCGAAACUGGUUUCCUUUAGUGUAGAUGAAGUAGGCGGAAUUUGUGGUGUAGCGGUGAAAUGCAUAGAUAUCACGAGGAACUCCGAUUGCGCAGGCAGCUUACUAAACUACUACUGACGCUCAGGCACGAAGGCGUGGGGAUCAAACAGGAUUAGAUACCCUGGUAGU
rnacentral:rRNA from 1 species